CUGGCGGCGUGCUUCAGUACAUGCAAGUCGAACGAUAAGGUCUCUUCGGAGAUACAUAAGUGGCGGACGGGUGAGUAAAAUGUAGAGAAUCUGCCCUAGAGUGGGGGACAACGAGAGGGAAACUUCUGCUAAUACCCCAUAUGCGCGUAGCUGAGAUGCUAUUCGUGAAAACUCCGGUGCUCUGGGAUGAGUCUGCAUCUGAUUAGCUAGUAGGCGGUGUAAUGGACCACCUAGGCGACGAUCAGUAGCUGGUUUGAGAGGAUGAUCAGCCACAAUGGGACUGAGACACGGCCCAUACUCCUACGGGAGGCAGCAGUAGGGAAUUUUGCGCAAUGGGGGAAACCCUGACGCCAGCAACGCCGCGUGACCGAUGAAGCCCUUCGGGGUGUAAAGGUCUGUCAGUGGGGACGAAACUUGACGGUACCCACAGAGGAAGCAUCGGCUAACUCCGUGCCAGCAGCGGC
rnacentral:rRNA from 1 species